rnacentral:rRNA from 1 species
CCUACGGGAGGCAGCAGUAGGGAAUAUUGCUCAAUGGGGGAAACCCUGAAGCAGCAACGCCGCGUGGAGGAUGAAGCUUUUCGGAUUGUAAACUUCUUUUGUUAGAGAAGAUAAUGACGGUAUCUAACGAAUAAGCCCCGGCUAACUCCGUGCCAGCAGCCGCGGUAAUACGGAGGGGGCAAGCGUUACUCGGAAUUACUGGGCGUAAAGAGCGCGUAGGCGGGAUAGCAAGUCAGAUGUGAAAUCCUAUGGCUUAACCAUCGAACUGCCUUUGAAACUGUUAUUCUAGAGUGUGGGAGAGGUAGGUGGAAUUCCUGGUGUAGGGGUGAAAUCCGUAGAGAUCAAGAGGAACACUGAUUGCGAAGGCGACUUGCUAGAACAUAACUGACGCUGAGGCGCGAAAGCGUGGGGAGCAAACAGGAUUAGAUACCCGAGUAGUC